ensembl:rRNA 5S_rRNA 5S ribosomal RNA
UAGUGCAGUCAAAGGUACCUCAGGGAGUGAUCUCAACACCCCUGGGUCAGGCCUGGCCAGUAUUUGGAUGGGAGAUCACCAAGGAAAAACCGGUGCUGCAGGAA